GGUUACCGAACCCUGUCAAACUCCGAAUGGUUAUACUGUAGAGCUUGGGAGUCAGACUACGAGUGAUAAGAUCCGUGGUCAAAAGGGAAACAGCCCAGACCACCAGCUAAGGUCCCCAAUGUCGUACUAAGUGGAAAAGGAUGUGGGGUCUCUAAAACAACCAGGAUGUUGGCUUAGAAGCAGCCACCAUUUAAAGAGUGCGUAAUAGCUCACUGGUCGAGAGACCCUGCGCCGAAGAUUACCGGGGCUAAAGUACGAAACCGAAGCUGUGGCUACGACGUAAGUCGUGGGGUAGGGGAGCGUUCUGUGAGGGCUGAAGUCGUUCUGUAAGGAACGGUGGACUUCACAGAAGUGAGAAUGUUGGUAUGAGUAGCGAAAAGAAUGGUGAGAAUCCAUUCCACCGAAAGCAUAAGGAUUCCUGGGCAACGAUCGUCGUCCCAGGGUAAGUCGGGACCUAAUCCGAGGCAUGGAGCGUAGGAGAUGGACAACUGGCAGAUAUUCCAGUACCGGUAAUGAUUGUUUGAGCGAUGGAGUGACACAGGAGGGCAGGCAGGCAGGAGAUUGGUUGUUCCUGUACAAGCGUGUAGGAUGGGUUGCAGGCAAAUCCGCAACCUGUGAGUCUGAGGCGUGAUGUGGAGGUUCCGGAAACGGAACUGAAGCUGCUGACCCCACACUGUCGAGAAAAGCUUCUAGUUAGAGAAUUACCGCCCGUACCGUAAACCGACACAGGUAUGCGGGGAGAGAAUCCUAAGGUGCGCGGGAGAACCCUCGUUAAGGAACUCGGCAAAAUGUACCCGUAACUUCGGGAUAAGGGUAGCCGCUGUUGUGAAGUCUGAACAGACGGAGCAUGAGGCGGUCGCAGAGAAGAGGCCCAAGCGACUGUUUACCACAAACACAGGUGCCUGCUAAAGAGAAAUCUGACGUAUAGGUGCUGACACCUGCCCAGUGCCGGAAGGUUAAGGAAGGAUGUCCGGAGCAAUCCAAAGCAUUCGACCGAAGCCCCGGUGAACGGCGGCCGUAACUAUAACGGUCCUAAGGUAGCGAAAUUCCUUGUCGGGUAAGUUCCGACCCGCACGAAAGGUGUAACGAUUUGGGCACUGUCUCAACGAGGGACCCGGUGAAAUUGAAGUACCUGUGAAGAUGCAGGUUACCCGCGACUGGACAGAAAGACCCCAUGGAGCUUUACUGUAACCUGACAUUGGGUUCUGAUACAUCACGUACAGGAUAGGUGGGAGGCAUGGAAGCGAGGACGCUAGUCUUCGUGGAGCCGCCGUUGGGAUACCACCCUUGAUGUAUCGGAAUUCUAACCGUAGGAGUAACGAAACUCGGGACAGUGUCAGGCGGGCAGUUUGACUGGGGCGGUCGCCUCCCAAAGAGUAACGGAGGCGCCCAAAGGUUCCCUCAGCGCGGCCGGAAAUCGCGCGAAGAGUGUAAAGGCAGAAGGGAGCUUGACUGAGAGCCAAACACGGCGAUCAGGUACGAAAGUAGGGCUUAGUGAUCCGGUGGCAUCCAAGUGGAAGGGCCAUCGCUCAACGGAUAAAAGCUACCCUGGGGAUAACAGGCUAAUCUCUCCCAAGAGUCCAUAUCGACGGGGAGGUUUGGCACCUCGAUGUCGGCUCAUCACAUCCUGGGGCUGAAGUCGGUCCCAAGGGUUGGGCUGUUCGCCCAUUAAAGUGGUACGUGAGCUGGGUUCAGAACGUCGUGAGACAGUUCGGUCCCUAUCCAUCGCGGGCGCAAGAGAUUUGAAGGGGGCUGCUCCUAGUACGAGAGGACCGGAGUGGACGAACCAAUGGUGUACCAAUUAUCUCGCCAGAGGUAUAGUUGGGUAGCUACGUUCGGAAAGGAUAAACGCUGAAAGCAUCUAAGCGUGAAACCAGCCUUAAGAUGAGAUCUCUCAUAGAGUAAUCUAGUAAGACACCUUGG
rnacentral:rRNA from 1 species